AUCAUCAAUUUGGUCUGUUAUA
rnacentral:miRNA from 1 species